UACAGAGGGGGCAAGCGUUGUUCGGAAUUACUGGGCGUAAAGUGCGCGUAGGCGGCCUUCUAAGUCGAACGUGAAAUCCCCGGGCUCAACCCGGGAACUGCGUCCGAUACUGGAAGGCUUGAAUCCGGGAGAGGGAUGCGGAAUUCCAGGUGUAGCGGUGAAAUGCGUAGAUAUCUGGAGGAACACCGGUGGCGAAGGCGGCAUCCUGGACCGGCAUUGACGCUGAGGCGCGAAAGCCAGGGGAGCAAACGGG
rnacentral:rRNA from 1 species